rnacentral:lncRNA from 1 species
CCAAGAAGACUUAUUAUUAUCCAGCCAACACUACAAACAAUCAACAAGUGAAAACGGAAAGCAACAGGAGCGAUACCCAAGUGAACACAGAGAACAUCAAACAAAGUGAAUAUCAUACAAUUUCUUCAACGAUAACAAGUGAACACAAUAAGUGAGACAUAUUAUAAGAUCCACGCAAAUUCAUCAACAAUACUCCACAGCGAGGGACUAAACCUUACACACAAAACGGAUAAAAAUAUUUGUAAUUUCAAGAACAUGUAUGUAUGUUCAGUGUUAAUAGAAAUUUAACACUAGCUAAUAAGAAAUUAAGCACAUUUAAUCAAUAUUGGAAACACACACACACACUCAUAGUUGUAUAAACCCAAUGAAGUAUUAAAUUCAUAAAUUAUAACGUUUGAAC